rnacentral:rRNA from 1 species
GACGAACGCUGGCGGCGUGCUUAACACAUGCAAGUCGAACGGAAAGGCCCUGCUUGCAGGGUACUCGAGUGGCGAACGGGUGAGUAACACGUGGGUGAUCUGCCCUGCACUUCGGGAUAAGCUUGGGAAACUGGGUCUAAUACCGGAUAGGAGCCAUCUUUAGUGUGGUGGUUGGAAAGAUUUUUCGGUGUAGGAUGAGCUCGCGGCCUAUCAGCUUGUUGGUGGGGUAAUGGCCUACCAAGGCGGCGACGGGUAGCCGGCCUGAGAGGGUGUACGGCCACAUUGGGACUGAGAGACGGCCCAGACUCCUACGGGAGGCAGCAGUGGGGAAUAUUGCACAAUGGGCGCAAGCCUGAUGGAGCGACGCCGCGUGGGUGAUGAAGGCCUUCGGGUUGUAAACUCCUUUCGCUAGGGACGAAGCGUUUUUGUGACGGUACCUAGAUAAGAAGCACCGGCUAACUACGUG